GAUGAACGCUGGCGGCGUGCCUAAUACAUGCAAGUCGAGCGAACGGACGAGAAGCUUGCUUCUCUUAUGUUAGCGGCGGACGGGUGAGUAACACGUGGAUAACCUACCUAUAAGACUGGGAUAACUUCGGGAAACCGGAGCUAAUACCGGAUAAUAUUUUGAACCGCAUGGUUCAAAAGUGAAAGACGGUCUUGCUGUCACUUAUAGAUGGAUCCGCGCUGCAUUAGCUAGUUGGUAAGGUAACGGCUUACCAAGGCAACGAUGCAUAGCCGACCUGAGAGGGUGAUCAGCCACACUGGAACUGAGACACGGUCCAGACUCCUACGGGAGGCAGCAGUAGGGAAUCUUCCGCAAUGGGCGAAAGCCUGACGGAGCAACGCCGCGUGAGUGAUGAAGGUCUUCGGAUCGUAAAACUCUGUUAUUAGGGAAGAACAUAUGUGUAAGUAACUGUGCACAUCUUGACGGUACCUAAUCAGAAAGCCACGGCUAACUACGUG
rnacentral:rRNA from 1 species